UCGUGAAUAUUCUUACUGUUCUGAUUUUGUAAUAAUCAGGGCAGGCUAAACAUUUGCUAUAUUAAGACCAUGCAUGUGUCCCCAGACCUAGUUCUUCCCCUAGGUUAGGUUUGGUUUUAUCAGUGUUGGUGAUAAGC
rnacentral:snoRNA from 1 species